rnacentral:rRNA from 13 species
UAUGUGUAAAUCUUUGAAUAAAAACAAAAUUCUGCUAACUGAAAUAUCUUACUAGCAGUAAUAAAAAUCAAAAGAGUCAAUUUUUAGUAACGAUGAGUGAAGUAAUUUUGUAAUAAACUUUUUCUUUGAUAAGCCAAAGUUGGUAAAAAGACCAUCUUAUUCAGUUAUUACAUAGACUUGUUUAUUGGUGCAGAAAAUUGUACUUCUUGUAGAAUUUGCUACAAGUCUUAUGUCACUGUUGAUAUCAAUAGCGCACAGUACUGUGAAGAAAAGUUUUAAAUUUAGUGGCUUAAAACAAUCUUAUUUUAAGAUGUACUUUUUGUAUUAUGGUUUGACGACUUAAUUUUUUAAGCAAGCAUUACUGCGUUUAUAACUUACUCAUAGUUUAAAUAAUUAGACACGAAGCGUGACUGAUCUAUACAAGUUCUAGCUGCUUGCUCUUUAAAAACGAGAGAAAAGGCUUAAUUGGUGUUUGUUGCAAAAAACUCAAGUGAAACUUGUUUAGUGACGAAAGAUCAAUCAAAUCACGAGAUAGCUUGUUUUCUGCGAAAUUCUUUUUAGAGAAGCGUUUAAAACAAAAGCGUUUUGUAAAGCUACUUUUCUACUUUUGGUGGAUUAAAACUCUUUACAAAAGUAAAAAAAACUCAGAAUAUAUUGCUUGUUCUUAUAACAGUUGGAUUAUUUGCGAAAAAGUUAAUAAUCGAAAGAGAAACAACUCGUAAAUGUCUUUUAUUGCUCUUGAGGAUACUUUAUUCUAAAGAUACUUUUCAUCGAAAAUAUUUUUCCUGUUGGCUUAGAAGUAGCUCUCUUUUUUUGAAAGUGUAAUAACUCAGUAUAUUAUUAGAUCUAAAGAUCUUAAAAUUUAGUUGAUUUAAAGUUUUCGCUAAAAUUGCAUAGUAACUUUUAUUAAUAUAGUUACUGGUAGUAGAACAAGUUGUUUUUUUCAAAUAAAUGCUUUGUGAAAAGCCUUUCAUUAAAACAAGUUAGAUAAUGUCAAAAUAACUAUCAUAGAAAUCUUAGUUUUUCUUAUACUAUCUAAAGUUUUUUGUAUAAUAAUAUCUUUACAAAAAUACUCGAACUCUUAUUGUUAGUUGAAGACUACGCAAAAUGAUUUAAUUAUGUUAAUUUCAACAGAAAUAGCAAGUGCUUGUCUGUUUUUAUUGCCUUAUGCUUACGAAUCGAGCUGUUUUUCUGGAAAAUAAUUAUUCGCCUUUCGUACUAUACACCAACUCUGGUAGAUUUUUAAGAAUUAUUGAUGAAACAAGCAUAUUGAAUUCGGCAAAUUUUUUCUGUAACUUAGGAAUAAAGAAAAGCACAAAUAUCAUAUUCUUUGCUAUUUAUAACUUCGACUUGCGACUAUUUAAUAAAAAUACAUGAUUAUGCUAAUUUUUUAAAUAAGUAUAUAAUCUGACUUGUGCUCAAUGUUUGAUUGUCGAAUCUAUUUAUUUGUAUUUGCAAAUAAUUAAAGACUAAAUGAAUAGCAGCUUUAUUCUGAGAGUUGUAAUGUAGCGAAAUUCCUUGGCUGAUAAUUGUAGUCCUGCAUGAAUCAAGUAACGACACGUCAACUGUCAUAUGCUUAAGCUCUUGAAAAAUUGAAUUUUGAGUGAAGAUGCUCAAUUUUUUUACUAAGACGAAAAGACUCCAUGCAGCUUUAUAGUUCUCGAAGACUGAUAAAGUUUUUCUUAUUAUUAAGUUAUAUUAUAGAGUAGCUUCGACAAUAAAUUUUUAAAUUUUAUUGCUCGUAUGAAGCAUAAAACUGAGAAACUCUUUUUAGAAAUACUUUCUCUUAUUUUUUUUAUAAAACAAUCUUCGAUUUUUCUAUUUAAUUGGGGAGAUUUUCCUUAACAUAGUAACAAAGAAGUGCAAAUUAGGUACUUCUUGUUGAAAAUAAUUUUCAGUUUUUUGCGAAAAAGCUAAUGUUGUGCUAAACUGCAAGAUGAAUACUUAUCAAGCAGAAACGUAAGUUGGCUUUAUUGAUCUUAUUUUUCUGACAAAAAAGAAAAUAACUCAUCGAAUCAAAGCUACGCUGGAGAUAACAGCAUAAUGAAAAUUAAGCGAUCCUAGCGACAUUUUCGUUUGUGACCUCGAUGUCGACUCUAGCUAUCUUUGUUGUGUAGAAGCUUCAUUUAGUUCGACUGUUCGUCGAUUAAAAGCUAACGUGAGUUGGGUUAAAAACGAUGUAAAUCAGUUUGGUUUCUAUCUAGUAAAAAAAAGAGAACUAAAAUGAUAAUUUUUUAGUAUGAGAAGAUCAAAAAUUAAAAGUCUCUGGUU